rnacentral:rRNA from 1 species
AUUGAACGCUGGCGGCAGGCCUAACACAUGCAAGUCGAACGAGUGGCGGACGGGUGAGUAAUGUCUGGGAAACUGCCUGCUGGAGGGGGAUAACUCCUGGAAACGGUAGCUAAUACCGCAUACCAUCGGAUGUGCCCAGAUGGGCUUAGCUAGUAGGUGGGGUAAAGGCUCACCUAGGCGCCGAUCCCUAGCUGGUCUGCGAGGAUGACAAGCAACACGGGAACUGUGAAACGGUCCAAACUCCUACGGGAGGAAGAAGGGGGGAAUAUGGCACCAUGGGCGCAAGCCUGAUGCAGCCAUGCCGCGUGUAUGAAGAAGGCCUUCGGGUUGUAAAGUACUUUCAGCGGGGAGGCGUUACCCGCAGAAGAAGCACCGGCUAACUCCGUGCCAGCCGCCGCGGUAAUUC